rnacentral:rRNA from 1 species
CCUACGGGAGGCAGCAGUGAGGAAUAUUGGUCAAUGGGCGCGAGCCUGAACCAGCCAAGUCGCGUGAGGGAAGACGGUCCUAUGGAUUGUAAACCUCUUUUGUCGGGGAGCAAAAGACGCCACGCGUGGCGUUCCGAGAGUACCCGAAGAAAAAGCAUCGGCUAACUCCGUGCCAGCAGCCGCGGUAAUACGGAGGAUGCGAGCGUUAUCCGGAUUUAUUGGGUUUAAAGGGUGCGCAGGCGGAAGAUCAAUUCAGCGGUAAAAUUGAGAGGCUCAACCUCUUCGAGCCGUUGAAACUGGUUUGCUUGAGUGAGUGAGAGGUAUGCGGAAUGCGUGGUGUAGCGGUGAAAUGCAUAGAUAUCACGCAGAACUCCGAUUGCGAAGGCAGCAUACCGGCGCUCAACUGACGCUCAUGCACGAAAGUGUGGGUAUCGAACAGGAUUAGAUACCCUAGUAGUC